CCUGGGGCUACCCCUAUAGCCAAAUCCCCCUAUCGUCUUGCACCUUCUGAAAUGCAGGAGUUAUCCAUCCAACUUAAUGAACUCCUUAUCAAAGGUUUCAUAAGACGAAGCUUCUCACCUUGGGGAGCACCAAUUCUUGUUCAUGAAGAAGAAGGAUGGAUCAUUCCGUAUGUGCAUAGACUAUCGCGAGCUGAAUAAACAUACCAUUGAAAAUUGAUACCCUUUACCUCGUAUUGACGAUCUGUUUGAUCAACUUCAAGGUGCGAGCUACUUCUAAACUAUAGACUUAAGAUCCUGGUAUCACCAAUUACGGAUUUUGGAGAUUGACAUUCACUAAACCAUGUUCAGAACUCAUUAUGGUCAUUAUGAGUUCGUAGUGAUGCCAUUUGGAUUGACGAAUGCACCGACUGUGUUCAUAGAUCUAAUGAACAGAGUGUGUUGUCCAACCAUUGAAUGUAAUAUUCACAAUCGACAUGGCUAACAGAAAAUCCGAAUCUACCAACGAUAUAUACAUAGGAUGUACUCUUACCUUGAAUAACAUUUCGUUCCCAAUAGACCUUAUGUCGGUCUCUAUCAAAAGUUUCGACGUCAUAAUAGGUAUGGAUUGGUUGUGUCCUAAGCAUGCUGACAUUCUAUGCUAUGAAAGAGUUAUUUGUCUAAAGUUGCCAACUAACGAAACACUUAUUAUUUACGGCGACAAACCCAGAACAAACCUCCACAUCAUUUCUUGUAUCAAUGCACAAAAGUACCUUCACAAAGAGUAUUGUGCCUUCUUAGCUCACGUGGUAGACAAAAAGCAAGAAGUGAAUGACAUAGCGAGUAUUCCUAAGGUCUUCAACUUUCCUGACAUUUUUCCCAAUGAUCUUCCAGGAGUGCCUCCUGAACGACAAGUCGAAUUUAGAAUCGACUUAAUUCAUGGGGCUACCCCUGUAGCCAAAUCCCCCUAUCAUCUUGCACCUUCUUAAAUGCAGAAGUUAUCCAUCCAAAUUAAUGAACCCCUUAUCAAAGGUUUCAUAAGACGAAGCUUCUCACCUUGGGGAGCACCAAUUCUUGUUCAUGAAGAAGAAGGAUGGAUCAUUCCGUAUGUGCAUAGACUAUCGCGAGCUGAAUAAACAUACCAUUGAAAAUUGAUACCCUUUACCUCGUAUUGACGAUCUGUUUGAUCAACUUCAAGGUGCGAGCUACUUCUAAACUAUAGACUUAAGAUCCUGGUAUCACCAAUUACGGAUUUUGGAGAUUGACAUUCACUAAACCAUGUUCAGAACUCAUUAUGGUCAUUAUGAGUUCGUAGUGAUGCCAUUUGGAUUGACGAAUGCACCGACUGUGUUCAUAGAUCUAAUGAACAGAGUGUGUUGUCCAACCAUUGAAUGUAAUAUUCACAAUCGACAUGGCUAACGGAAAAUCCGAAUCUACCAACGAUAUAUACAUAGGAUGUACUCUUACCUUGAAUAACAUUUCGUUCCCAAUAGACCUUAUGCCGGUCUCUAUCAAAAGUUUCGACGUCAUAAUAGGUAUGGAUUGGUUGUGUCCUAAGCAUGCUGACAUUCUAUGCUAUGAAAGAGUUAUUUGUCUGAAGUUGCCAACUAACGAAACACUUAUUAUUUACGGCGACAAACCCAGAACAAACCUCCACAUCAUUUCUUGUAUCAAUGCACAAAAGUACCUUCACAAAGAGUACUGUGCCUUCUUAGCUCACGUGGUAGACAAAAAGCAAGAAGUGAAUGACAUAGCGAGUAUUCCUAAGGUCUGCAACUUUCCUGACAUUUUUCCCAAUGAUCUUCCAGGAGUGCCUCCUGAACGACAAGUCGAAUUUAGAAUCGACUUAAUUCAUGGGGCUACCCCUGUAGCCAAAUCCCCCUAUCGUCUUGCACCUUCUGAAAUGCAGGAGUUAUCCAUCCAACUUAAUGAACUCCUUAUCAAAGGUUUCAUAAGACGAAGCUUCUCACCUUGGGGAGCACCAAUUCUUGUUCAUGAAGAAGAAGGAUGGAUCAUUCCGUAUGUGCAUAGACUAUCGCGAGCUGAAUAAACAUACCAUUGAAAAUUGAUACCCUUUACCUCGUAUUGACGAUCUGUUUGAUCAACUUCAAGGUGCGAGCUACUUCUAAACUAUAGACUUAAGAUCCUGGUAUCACCAAUUACGGAUUUUGGAGAUUGACAUUCACUAAACCAUGUUCAGAACUCAUUAUGUUCAUUAUGAGUUCGUAGUGAUGCCAUUUGGAUUGACGAAUGCACCGACUGUGUUCAUAGAUCUAAUGAACAGAGUGUGUUGUCCAACCAUUGAAUGUAAUAUUCACAAUCGACAUGGCUAACAGAAAAUCCGAAUCUACCAACGAUAUAUACAUAGGAUGUACUCUUACCUUGAAUAACAUUUCGUUCCCAAUAGACCUUAUGCCGGUCUCUAUCAAAAGUUUCGACGUCAUAAUAGGUAUGGAUUGGUUGUGUCCUAAGCAUGCUGACAUUCUAUGCUAUGAAAGAGUUAUUUGUCUAAAGUUGCCAACUAACGAAACACUUAUUAUUUACGGCCACAAACCCAUAUUAAACCUCCACAUCAUUUCUUGUAUCAAUGCACAAAAGUACCUUCAUAAAGAGUACUGUGCCUUCUUAGCUCACGUGGUAGACAAAAAGCAAGAAGUGAAUGACAUAACGAGUAUUCCUAAGGUCUGCAACUUUCCUGACAUUUUUCCCAAUGAUUUUCC
rnacentral:lncRNA from 1 species